rnacentral:tRNA from 1 species
GGGCCCGUAGCUCAGAUGGGAGAGCGCUAGAAUCGCACUCUAGAGGCCAGGGGUUCAACUCCCCUCGGGUCCACCA